rnacentral:tmRNA from 1 species
GGGGGCGAUCUGGAAUCGACCGGGUAAGUUGACGAUAGAGGUGGCAUGUCGUGGUUGAUCGAGAGGCCACGUGAAAACUCGAUUACAAAAGUAACAGCUGAGGAAAACCUCGCUCUAGCAGCCUAAUAUUGGCAGCUCAGGUACUCAAUGCCCGUCGGAGGCGUUGAAAUACCUGUCGCAAUUCCGAAUCGCACUAUCACGUGUCUCGCACUGGUGGUGUUAAAAAAGCUCGAGGCUGGCGCACUGCACCGAUGCCAACAACGAACGCAGUGGGCGAGACAAAUAACUGUCGGCUAAACAUGUAGAGGCCCUAUUUGAAGUAUCGCGGGACGCGGGUUCAAUUCCCGCCGCCUCCAUCU